rnacentral:rRNA from 1 species
GAUGAACGCUGGCGGCGUGCUUAACACAUGCAAGUCGAACGAAGCACUUGUACUUGAUUCUUCGGAUGAAGGUACAUGUGACUGAGUGGCGGACGGGUGAGUAACGCGUGGGUAACCUACCUCAUACAAGGGGAUAACAGUUAGAAAUGACUGCUAAUACCGUAUAACCUCUUAGUGUCGCAUGACACAUAGAGAAAAACUCCGGUGGUAUGAGAUGGACCCGCGUCUGAUUAGCUAGUUGGUGAGGUAAUGGCUCACCAAGGCGACGAUCAGUAGCCGACCUGAGAGGGUGAUCGGCCACAUUGGGACUGAGACACGGCCCAAACUCCUACGGGAGGCAGCAGUGGGGAAUAUUGCACAAUGGGGGAAACCCUGAUGCAGCGACGCCGCGUGAAGGAUGAAGUAUUUCGGUAUGUAAACUUCUAUCAGCAGGGAAGAAAAUGACGGUACCUGACUAAGAAGCCCCGGCUAACUACGUGCCAGCAGCCGCGGUAAUACGUAGGGGGCAAGCGUUAUCCGGAUUUACUGAGUGUAAAGGGAGCGUAGACGGUUGUGUAAGUCAGAUGUGAAAGCCCGGGGCUCAACCCCGGGACUGCAUUUGAAACUGUGCGACUAGAGUGUUGGAGAGGUAAAUGGAAUUCCUAGUGUAGCGGUGAAAUGCGUAGA